AUUGAACGCUGGCGGCAGGCCUAACACAUGCAAGUCGAACGGAAACAGGAAGAAGCUUGUUUCUUUGCUGUAGAGUGGCGGGGGUGAGUGACAUGUCUGGGAAACUGCUUGAAGGCGGGGGAAAACUACUGGAAACGGUACCUAUAACCGCUUAAAGUUGCAACACCAAAGAGCGAGACUUUCAGGCCGCUUGCCAUCGGAUGUUCCCAGGUUGGAUUAGCUAGUAGGUAGGGUAACGGCUAACCAAGGCGACGAUCCCUAGCUGGUCUGAGAGGUUGAACAGCCACACUGGAACUGAGACACGGUCCAGACUCCUACGGGAGGCAGCAGUGGGGAAUAUUGCACAAUGGGCGCAAGCCUGAUGCAGCAAUGCCGCGUGUAUGAAGAAGGCCUUCGGGUUGUAAAGUACUUUCAGCGGGGAAGAAGAGAUGUAAGUUAAUACCUUCGCUCAUUGACGGUACCCACAGAAAAAGCACCGGCUAACUCCGUG
rnacentral:rRNA from 1 species